rnacentral:rRNA from 1 species
AAGACCUUACGCUUUUGGAGCGGCCGAUGUCUGAUUAGCUUGUUGGUGAGGUAAAGGCUUACCAAGGCUUCGAUCAGUAGCUGGUCUGAGAGGACGACCAGCCACACUGGGACUGAGACACGGCCCAGACUCCUACGGGAGGCAGCAGUGGGGAAUUUUGGACAAUGGGGGAAACCCUGAUCCAGCCAUGCCGCGUGAGUGAAGAAGGCCUUCGGGUUGUAAAGCUCUUUCAGCCGGAACGAAACGGUUACGAUUAAUACCUGUAACUACUGACGGUACCGGAAGAAGAAGCACCGGCUAACUACGUGCCAGCAGCCGCGGUAAUACGUAGGGUGCAAGCGUUAAUCGGAAUUACUGGGCGUAAAGCGUGCGCAGGUGGUUUUGUAAGUCAGAUGUGAAAUCCCCGGGCUUAACCUGGGAACU